AGGGCAAGUCUGGUGCCAGCAGCCGCGGUAAUUCCAGCUCCAAUAGCGUAUAUUAAAGUUGUUGCAGUUAAAAAGCUCGUAGUUGAAUUUCGGGGUUCUACCGUUGGUCGGGCUUUGUCUGUACUGGCGUGUAGAAUUUCUACCUUCUGGGGAACCAUUAUGUUAUUAAUUUAGCGUAGUGGGAAACCAGGACCUUUACCUUGAAAAAAUUAGAGUGUUCAAAGCAGGCUUAUGUCUGAAUACAUUAGCAUGGAAUAAUAGAAUAGGACGGUGGUCCUGUUUUGUUGGUUUCUGAAUCACCGUAAUGAUUAAUAGGGAUAGUUGGGGGCAUUAGUAUUCAAUUGUCAGAGGUGAAAUUCUUGGAUUUAUUGAAGACUAACUUCUGCGAAAGCAUUUGCCAAGGAUGUUUUCAUUAAUCAAGAACGAAAGUUAGGGGAUCGAAGACGAUCAGAUACCGUCGUAGUCUUAACCAUAAACUAUGCCGACUAGGGAUCGGACGAUGUUAAUUUUUCUUGACUCGUUCGGCGCCUUACGGGAA
rnacentral:rRNA from 1 species